AGAAGAACCACAGAAGAAGACUGGUCUCCAAGAUACAGAGGAAGAAGCGUCCUCUUGAGAGACUGACGGCUGUGGACAUGUGGAGAUGCUGCCAGUGGAGCAGCAUUACCUCAGACCUUCACCUGCAGACAGUACAGUGCACUGAAGGCAGUUGUCUCGAGCUGUCUCUCUUUGCCAAGCUAAGUGGGACCACACCGGUCUCAGACUCCUGGAAGAGUGAACUAGUGAACUACUCUGAACUUUUGACGACCAAUUUUUGCCACAUAGAUACAUACUACAUGUUCAUGUGGCUCUCCAUGAUUUAGAGGAAAGUGUCCCAGUCAAACCUGAAGUCUGGUUAUUUGUGGAGGGGCAAAAGGACCAGUAUGCAUGUGCGUUUCAAGAUGUCCUCCGCAUGCUACUAGCAGCUUGCAAUCACAUGGGUUUGGCCGCUACAGUAUCAAAAAGGACCCUGCAGUCACAGAAAAGCACAUCUUUACAUACAGAUGAUCACUCUGAUUAAUCCGCCUACACAUCGUCCAUUGCCCAUCCCUCCCAGCAGUGUGUGUUGGAGCCCGGAUAUAUUAUAUAUGACAGAUUUACUCCCACACUCCGUGACUUUUCCUGCAGAUUCAAACCAGGAUCCUCAGUUUUAUUCCGAAUGACUCCCACACAUUCAGCCUCCUAUAUAAACAUAAGCCUCAUACGGGGUUGUAGUACUAGUGGAUUGCACUGUCACAAGUCUUCUUCAGGUGGAGCUGGGGGAGUUUUCAGUUGUUUUCCACUGUGCACAUGGAAAAGCACCUGAAUGUUUUCAUCUUUAUCAAGGCACCCACUUGCAUCAUAUAAACUACUUAAUGUACGUUGCCAAUCAGAGAAAUUGUAAUAGUGAAUUUGGUUAAUGAAUUUCAGUCGGUGACCUGCUGUGUGAAUUUGAGUGUAACAGUGAGUGCAAGCUAAAAUGUGACAAGCAUUGGAGGGGUGAUGCAAACACUGAGAACAUGUUAUACCUCAAUCAGACAGUGCUAAUGUUAUUAAGUUGUGAUAAUGCUCCGUGAACAUGCAUACAAUGUGCACCAUGCACAGUGAGUGCAGGUUGGUCUGCCUGCUGAGAGAUACAGACCUCAGCUUAACACUGGCCCUUCUCUGUAAGAGCCAGCCUCAGGUUUAUCAAAACAUCCCUCAAAGAAAUAUAUGUAAAUAAUGUGUGGGACAGUAUGUGGAUCACCAUCAUAAAAUAACUCUCAAGUCAACAGCUACCUAUAUAAUACCUGACAGAUUAAAUUCCCUUUCAUUCAAGCAGCCAUCAUUUUAAUUUUUCAUCAUUUGCCAUGUUUACCUUGUUGCCUCUCACUGAUUAGCAAAGCCCUUUGUUUCUCUUCCUUCUUGCCCCCUCAUCCCUCCUUUUCCCUCCUUUCAUACACGCCUGCAUUACUUCCUCCUCCCCAGCUCUCUCACUAUCUCUCCCUCUCCAUCUUUCAUUCCUUUCAUUCUCCUUUCUUUCUCACUCUCCAUCGAACCGUCGAUUCGGCUCAGGCUCAAACGUGGGACACCCGGUGCUGUCAGGCCGAGCGACAGCUCCUUUGACCCAGUGGUCCACGUCCUCUCGAGGCUGAGGCGGUCUGGUCUUGUCAUUAACUCUGGCAGACAGAGACUCUGUGGAGACGGACUAGAUGCUGAAGUGUCUAGAAGGAGAACAUGUUGCUUCCAGUCAGACAUUAGAGCAGGAUUACUGACUUAACAUACAUACAUGACUCAAAACACUUGCAGCAAAUGAAGAUUAAAUACAAGUUAUAAUCCCUCAUUCAGACUUAAAACUUUGCCUUCAUAGCACAAAUUAGUCAACAAAAUAGAGCAAUACACAUCGGAAUGGGUAGACAGUUUCCUCUGUGUUUUGCAACACUCCCUGAAUGCAGUUCUGCUGAUCAUUUCAUUGUUUAACAAGGGUUAAUUACAGAGGUUGCGUUGUCCCAGGGGAUAUUUGUCAAAGCGAUGUGUGUAUUUCUAGAUCAAAAUAGGCACAUCAGACAAAGUUAUGUGAUCACAUUGUUCGCGGGAGACAGUGAAGCAGCAGGAGGCCUCUUAUCAAAGCAAACAUCUUCCCAAUUAUGUUUGCUGCCUUGUAGAUGGGCCUGUCCAGGCUGUGGGGCUGAAAUGAUUCAUGGACAACAGAAGUAAUGUAACGAUUGACCGAAAGCAGCUUGUGGUUGUAUGAAGUUCAUGUUUUUAAAAGUCUGUACUCUUGUAGAAAUACAUAGACAUAGACAAUGACAUCAUUUUCGGGGGGGUAAAUAAAACUUUCAACAUGUCAC